AGAGCCUCACGAAUAACUGGAUGCUGGAAAACAAUAGACCACAUCCGGCUCAGACAGGGGCUCACAGCGACACGAAUCCUUUUGAGUGAAAGGAAUCCAUCUUGUCUUUGCUAUUCCUUUCUUAGAUGGCUUUGGAUAUCC